rnacentral:rRNA from 1 species
CGCAUAUCUAUAUAAAUCUUACAUUUACACAUUAAUAAAAACACUCUCAUAUAAAUUAUUCUAUUACACAAAAUUUUCAAGUACUGAAAAGGAAUAACAUAUACUUUUAAGUAGUGUAAAUUCACGUACCUUGUGCAUUAUGGUUUUACAAGCUCAACAAUUAAUAAUUUACUCCCGAAACCUACGCGAGCUGUCUCCAUAUAGUUAAGAACCCACCAAUAGUUAUAGCAUCAACUUUGGAAAAUAUCCUGACAGAGGCUACAUACCAACCGCGCUAGAUAAUUGCUGGUUUUCAGUAAAUAUUAUAAAUUAAAACAUGUAAAGCUCUACAAUGUUAAAUUACAGAGGAUAAGCCCUGUAAUUAAUAGCUAAAAAACCUAUAAUUUUAAUAUAUAGGCCUAAAAUCAGCCACCUUCAAUACGUCACUGUAAACUAUAUUUUAUAUAUUUAAUACCUGCCACCAUAACCUGAAAUAUAAGAUUAACUUCUAAUCUUUUUAUAUUAUGUAAAAAUAAGUAUUUGUAAACACUAACUUUUAUAAUUCAAAACUAAUUAUUCUAUUAACCAACCAAAUGCUUAUAAAGGAACUCGGCAAAUCUUAUUUCGACUGUUUAACAAAAACAUUGCUUCCUGAACUCUUAUAGGAAGUAAUUCCUGCCCAGUGAAUUAUUUCAACGGCCGCGGUAUCCUAACCGUGCAAAGGUAGCAUAAUCACUUGCCCAUUAAUUGUGGGCUAGAAUGAAAGGAUUAACGAAAUAAAGACUGUCUCUAUAAGCCACCUAAAAAUUAAUCUCUAACUGAAGAGUGUUAGAUCAAAUCGAAGGACAAGAAGACCCUAUAGAGCUUUAUUUUAACAAAAUUUUUUUAUUUUUCUAAGAUUCGGUUGGGGCGACCCGGGAAAAUAAUAAACCUCCCUCCCUAAUAGAUUAAUAAAUCACACCUUCGACCCUUAAUAAAGAUCAUAAAACCAAGCUACCUUAGGGAUAACAGGCUAAUUCCACUAAAAAGUCCUUAUUAAUAGUGGGGAUUGGCACCUCGAUGUUGGCUUAGGGAAUCUAUACGGCGCAAAAGUCGUAUAAGAUGGUUUGUUCAACCAAUAAUACCCUACAUGAGCUGAGUUCAGACCGGCGUAAGCCAGGUUAGUUUCUAUCCUCGAUAAUAACUUCUAUUUAUAGUACGAAAGGACCUAAAUAGGGUAAUAUUUACAUAAUAAGAACACAUAUAAAUUUAAAAUUAAAAAUCAAUAACU